rnacentral:rRNA from 1 species
AUUGAACGCUGGCGGCAGGCCUAACACAUGCAAGUCGAGCGGAUGAAGGGAGCUUGCUCCUGGAUUCAGCGGCGGACGGGUGAGUAAUGCCUAGGAAUCGGCCUGGUAGUGGGGGAUAACGUCCGGAAACGGGCGCUAAUACCGCAUACGUCCUGAGGGAGAAAGUGGGGGAUCUUCGGACCUCACGCUAUCAGAUGAGCCUAGGUCGGAUUAGCUAGUUGGUGGGGUAAAGGCCUACCAAGGCGACGAUCCGUAACUGGUCUGAGAGGAUGAUCAGUCACACUGGAACUGAGACACUGUCCAGACUCCUACGGGAGGCAGCAGUGAGGAAUAUUGGGCAAUGGGCGGAAGCCUGAUCCAGCCAUGCCGCGUGUGUGAAGAAGGUCUUCGGAUUGUAAAGCACUUUAAGUUGGGAGGAAGAGCAGUAAGUUAAUACCUUGCUGUUUUGACGUUACCAACAGAAUAAGCACCGGCUAACUUCGUG